rnacentral:rRNA from 1 species
UUGGCGGACGGGUGAGUAACACGUGAGCAACCUGCCUUCGAGAGGGGAAUAACGGCUGGAAACGGUCGCUAAUACCGCAUAACAUACCGGGAGGACAUCCUGCUGGUAUCAAAGAUUUUAUCGCUCGAAGAUGGGCUCGCGUCCGAUUAGGUAGUUGGUGAGGUAACGGCUCACCAAGCCGACGAUCGGUAGCCGGACUGAGAGGUUGAACGGCCACAUUGGGACUGAGACACGGCCCAGACUCCUACGGGAGGCAGCAG